AUGGGACUCAGGAGACAGGAGGCAGGGGGAGGCCUGGGGGGUGGGGGCGGCCGCCGGGCAUCUGGGCCUCUCCCUCCCCUGGCACCACCGCACCCCGCACCCCUCCCACACACACCCUCGCCGGAAAGUUCCCCAGCCCAGGCCGGGCUCCCAGGCAGCUUGGCACCGUGCCAGGCUCGCCGCCGAGCGCGGGCAGCCGGGUGGGGCGAGCGGCGGCGGCACCGAGGACAUGGCCGGGCGCCCUGGGCGCGAGCAGGACCCAAGGCCGGGAGGCCGGGGCCCAGAAGAAGGCGGCUGGUCCCAGAGCACCUCGGAGAAAGCGGACGCCUGUCUUGGCCUUUGGAAGACGCUCAAGGACCACGUGGCCGGGUCCACGGUCUCUGCCCUGCGCCUCGAGGGCGAGGCAGCCCAGGUCUUGCCCUUCUUGCCGUCCACUUCGCCCCCAGCCGACGCCUGGAGCUUGAGGUGACUGAGCGCUCUCAGGCCAGCUCGGCCCUGGACCUGCUCGGCUCUGGACCUGCCCAUCUCCGUCAACGCACGAGGCCCCCGUGCCCCAGGUCAAGAAGUGGCGCCAAGGGGGGAGCUUCUGUCCGAGGCCAGCCUUCCUUCCGGCUGGACUUGGCCUGCACGAGCCACGGUCUGUGUCGCAGGGUGUCUGGAUGGAAGAGCAGCACUGGGCCCCGUCUCCCUCUCCGCCCUGAGGACCCGCCGUUCCUGGCUCCCAGGCAGGUGCGCCUGCCCCCCUCCCAACCCCAGGCUCACCCUGCCCCCUUCUCUCCACCCGGCCGGGCGCCAGCCCUCGACCUGCUGCCAGCUGUCAACAUGCGACGCACACAGGGAGCAGCCGCGGCUGUGUUUGUCAGGACCGGACACCAGAGCUCCCUCUGCAGUCGUGGGUGA
rnacentral:lncRNA from 1 species